rnacentral:rRNA from 1 species
UACAGAGGUGGCAAGCGUUGUUCGGAAUUACUGGGCGUAAAGGGCGCGUAGGCGGUCUUUUAAGUCUUGUGUGAAAUCCCUCGGCUCAACUGAGGAACUGCACGGGAUACUGGAAGACUUGAGUUCGGGAGAGGGAAGCGGAAUUCCGGGUGUAGCGGUGAAAUGCGUAGAUAUCCGGAGGAACACCGGUGGCGAAGGCGGUUCUCUGGGAAUAUCCUGGACGCUGAGGAGCGAAAGUGUGGGGAGCGAACAGGA